GGAUGGUUGGCGGAGCAGCCGAAUGCACCCGCUCGCUAAGCGGGAGACCUUGACGGGUCCGCAGGUGCGAAUCCUGCGCCAUCCG
rnacentral:tRNA from 4 species